rnacentral:rRNA from 1 species
GGUGAACGCUGGCGGUAGGCCUAACACAUGCAAGUCGAACGGCAGCACAGUAAGAGCUUGCUCUUACGGGUGGCGAGUGGCGGACGGGUGAGGAAUACAUCGGAAUCUACUUUUUCGUGGGGGAUAACGUAGGGAAACUUACGCUAAUACCGCAUACGACCUACGGGUGAAAGUAGGGGAUCUUCGGACCUUGCGCGAUUGAAUGAGCCGAUGUCGGAUUAGCUAGUUGGCGGGGUAAAGGCCCACCAAGGCGACGAUCCGUAGCUGGUCUGAGAGGAUGAUCAGCCACACUGGAACUGAGACACGGUCCAGACUCCUACGGGAGGCAGCAGUGGGGAAUAUUGGACAAUGGGCGCAAGCCUGAUCCAGCCAUACCGCGUGGGUGAAGAAGGCCUUCGGGUUGUAAAGCCCUUUUGUUGGGAAAGAAAAGCAGCAGGUUAAUACCCCGCUGUUCUGACGGUACCCAAAGAAUAAGCACCGGCUAACUUCGUG